rnacentral:tRNA from 1 species
AGGGUAGUAGCUCAAUUGGUAGAGUAGCGGUCUCCAAAACCGUUGGUUGCGGGUUCGAGUCCCGCCUGCCCUGCCA